rnacentral:rRNA from 1 species
AUUGAACGCUGGCGGCAUGCUUUACACAUGCAAGUCGAACGGCAGCGCGGGCUUCGGCCUGGCGGCGAGUGGCGAACGGGUGAGUAAUGCAUCGGAACGUGCCCAGUAGUGGGGGAUAGCCCGGCGAAAGCCGGAUUAAUACCGCAUACGACCUGAGGGUGAAAGCGGGGGACGAAAAGCCUCGCGCCAUUGGAGCCGCCGAUGUCGGAUUAGCUAGUUGGUGGGGUAAAGGCUUACCAAGGCGACGAUCCGUAGCUGGUCUGAGAGGACGACCAGCCACACUGGGACUGAGACACGGCCCAGACUCCUACGGGAGGCAGCAGUGGGGAAUUUUGGACAAUGGGGGCAACCCUGAUCCAGCCAUGCCGCGUGCGGGAAGAAGGCCUUCGGGUUGUAGACCGCUUUUGUUCGGGAAGAAAUCCUCUGGGCUAAUACCCCGGGGGGAUGACGGUACCGGAAGAAUAAGCACCGGCUAACUACGUG